AGUAGCCACAAGAAAAGCCCUUCCAGAAAAUUCCCAGCAAAUGCUCUGUGUUCUUGGAGACACCAUAUUGUUUUUCUCUCUCCUGUAGUUUCUGUAGCUGAUGGUUUUGAGAUCUAGUUACAGUUUUUCCUAGAGAUUCUUUAGCCACAAAUCCCCCAGGCUGAAGCUUGGACAAAACAAUAACCGACAGUGAUUUUCAACAGUAAGAGCUCUACUCGUCUUUUGUACCUUACCUUGCUGAAAGUGGGGAGGACAGGCUUAUGGGGGACAUGGACUUGCCCAUGAACAACCGUUGUGGCGCUCAAAGGCUGAUAUGAAUGUGUGGUCAUACAUUUCGGCUUGGGAAAAAGUGUUCUUAGGAGAGUUAAUUCAUCCAUCCAUGGUGAGUUGCUGGCCUAGGGGACUACUUUAGAGGAGCCAGUUUCUUGAGGCUGAGGAGUCCUUCAUUGCUUUAUAAAAGGGGACAGACAGAUCCUAAAUGUCCACACCAGGGUUACUAACUUUGUUUCCAGCUCAUGUCUUCUGGUAAAUCAUCACGAGGCCUCUAAACCAGAGGCACAACACUAGUGUUGCAGCUGGGACUGGUCGUUCUGAAAGCAGUGUCCCGCUGCAUGUUUAAUUUUCCCAAGGGACAGGCAGAGACCCUCCAAUAUAGAGGUUCCUAAACUUUUGGGAGGUGAUAAACCCUCUUGCAAAGAGUUUAAAAGCUAUGAAUCCUCUCCUCAGAUAGAUGCACAACACUAAAUACACCUUCCGGGGUCACCAUAGUCCUCGCACCCAACGUCGAGAAGCUCUGCUCUAAUGGCUGAAGACCAAGCCACACAGCGGAGAAUGGACGCUCCCAUUAUCCUUGUGGAAGCUGCUGCUUCCAACAGUAGGUCUCAGCUGCUGAUGUUUAUGUAGUGAAGUCGUAUUUGCACCUUUUGAGUGAACGGUACCUUUGGAGUAACUGACUGCAUUUUCUAGAGUCAGACUAAAGAGUCAGUUAGGAGACUGAGUGGGUGGCAGUUGCCUGGACUGAUCGGGCAGCUGGCACUGACCUCUGUUUGCUCCCUGGCCACCAGGUAUUAUCUUAUUCCAGAUCCAAAUCAUUGUCUGUGUUCAGUCUCACUGGAACGUGGGGAGGCUGCACAUAACACUGGGUAAAUGUUUUGUCCUACUUUGUAGUUGUACUGUGAGAAUGCUAGAAACUUCCGCCUAUAUGGUGGGUCUUAUUGCAUGAUCAUGGUUUGUUUGUGAAAUUACCUGCUCACUGAGGAUUCUCUGCUGUCCAAGAAUGAGCCAAGGCGUGGCAGCAGGGCAUGGUGGGCCUCGUUCCUGUGAGAAUUAGUUCAGCUCUUGGAGGCGGACUGUUGCACAACUUUUUAAAUAAAUGCAUUUGUGUUUAGUUAAUUUUGCUUUUUGUCAGUUCAGGGUAAAUUGAAGAUCUAUGAGGGUGGGAGUUUUUAUCCACUGCUGUAUCACAAGCUCCUAAAACAGUGACUGGUGUGUCAUAGGCAUUCUGUAAAGGUUUGUGGAAUGAAUGAACACCCUGCUGUGAUACGUCCUAGUUUGUUGGCAAUUGUGAUUUGAUUUUAAAAGGCAAGGGCAGGGGAACUCAUUUAGCCUUUUCGUAGGGGGAGAAAUAUUUCUGUAAAUGAAUAGGUUUGCUCAUAUAAGUAGUGCCAGUUCUUAGCUUUUUAUUGUGGAGUAAGUUGUGAGCACUUUUCAAGUUCAAUACAAGUUCAGUGUUGCCUGCAAUGAUUAGGAAAAUUGAAGUUUUGUGGUUUUUUUGCUGAGGAACAGUCGGCCUGAGCUAACAUCUGUUGCCAAUUUUCCUGUUUUUUUGCUUGACGAAGAUCGGCCCUGAGCUAACAUCUGUGUCACUCUUCCUCGAUUUUGUAUGUGGGUUGCCGCUACAGCAUGGCUGACCAGUAGUCUAGGUCCAUGCUCAGGAUCUGAACCCGCAAAUCCAGGACACCAAAGCGUAGUACGCCAAACUUAACCACUACACCAUGGGGCCAGUUUUAAAGGUCCUGGUCUCCAUAAUUUCCCAGAAUAACCUCUUGAAAAGGGACAUUGAUUGAAGUGUGCAAUUACCAGUAAUUGAGGUUUCAUUUGAGGGCAUUGAGAUGAAAUGGCUCCUUCUGGGCCAUCAUUGGCAUUUUGACCCUAUUUUUGACAAGUAAAGUGAAACCGUUAAAAAAGUUGGCCAAGAUGAUAUUGUGUCAUUUGUGAAAUAUAAUAGAUGUUAAUUCAUGAUUGGUUUGUCCUGCCUGCUUUAAAUGAGAUGUAUUGUGUUUCUGGGUUUUCUUUUUAGCUGUAAAAAUACUUUGUCAGUUAAAGCAUGAGAUUUGAUCAGUAAUUGUUCUUCAAGUUCCUCAAAGUUAUAAAAGUUUCUCAUGUCUUGAGUGCUUUCCCCUUGCCCAUCAGAGGAGGAAAAACCCUUGUAGAAUUUGACACAAGUGUUCCCUACAAAAACUGAAGCCAUCAGCUCCUCUUUAAUAAGUUGGCUUUUUAAAAGCACCGUAAUUACAAUUUAACAUAUUCUGUAAAGUGGUGCUUGAGGCAUAAUUUGAAUUCUUUUUAAUGACUAAAUUUCUUAAGAACUUUUAAAGAAAAAUAUGUCUGUUCUUUUUGCUGUGUCAUUUGGUGAGACCGAUUGGUUUCUAGUCCACAAAGAUUGAAGGAUGAGAUCAUAUCAUGGGGUUAGAAAAUGAUCCUUUUUUAAAAAGCACAAGAAUCUUGAAAACUCCACGUUUUGGUGGUUAUCACUAUUAUGUUUCAUAUCUCCACAUGAGUCACUUGUCCAAGUUCUGUAUUCUGAUCAGACUGACUCCUCUUUAAGGAGGGAUGAAAGGCUGAAAAUCAAGGCUGCUGUGUCUAUAGAAAAAAGUGAAACACUGUUUUAAUUCUGCACUGUUGUCUCCACCUAAAUAAAACAACUCUGAGUAAUGGAAAA
rnacentral:lncRNA from 1 species